rnacentral:rRNA from 1 species
CAGCACCUCAAGUGGUCAGGAUGAUUAUUGGGCCUAAGGCAUCCGUAGCCGGCUCUGUAAGUUUUCGGUUAAAUCUGUAUGCUCAACAUACAGGCUGCCGGGAAUACUGCAGAGCUAGGGAGUGGGAGAGGUAGACGGUACUCGGUAGGAAGGGGUAAAAUCCUUUGAUCUAUUGAUGACCACCUGUGGCGAAGGCGGUCUACCAGAACACGUCCGACGGUGAGGGAUGAAAGCUGGGGGAGCAAACCGGAUUAGAUACCCGCGUAGUCC